rnacentral:rRNA from 1 species
GCUGCAUGGCUCGGUGUGAAAAACUCCGGUGGUAUGGGAUGGGCCCGCGUCUGAUUAGGCAGUUGGCGGGGUAACGGCCCACCAAACCGACGAUCAGUAGCCGGCCUGAGAGGGCGACCGGCCACAUUGGGACUGAGACACGGCCCAAACUCCUACGGGAGGCAGCAGUGGGGAAUAUUGCACAAUGGGGGGAACCCUGAUGCAGCGACGCCGCGUGAGCGAAGAAGUAUUUCGGUAUGUAAAGCUCUAUCAGCAGGGAAGAUAAUGACGGUACCUGACUAAGAAGCCCCGGCUAACUACGUGCCAGCAGCCGCGGUAAUACGUAGGGGGCAAGCGUUAUCCGGAUUUACUGGGUGUAAAGGGAGCGUAGACGGCAAGGCAAGUCUGAUGUGAAAACCCAGGGCUUAACCCUGGGACUGCAUUGGAAACUGUCUGGCUCGAGUGCCGGAGAGGUAAGCGGAAUUCCUAGUGUAGCGGUGAAAUGCGUAGAUAUUAGGAAGAACACCAGUGGCGAAGGCGGCUUACUGGACGGUAACUGACGUUGAGGCUCGAAAGCGUGGGGAGCAAACAGGAUUAGAUACCCUGGUAGUCCACGCCGUA